CCUUCCCCUCAGGGUGGUGACUGAUCAUGGCUGGAGUGGAAAGCUCAGUCAGUCUGGGUCUCCGAAGAGUAGAGCACCUAUGUCACAACAGAGGGACCGCAGCUGCUUCAAGCCAUUGAGAUAUUAGGACUGCGUGUAACCCCCCGCCCCCCACCCCUUACCCUGUACAGUCUGGUUGAAAUAGGACAAAUCCCACCCAACUGAGCUGAGACAAAGUAGUGUCUCAUCUUGAGGGGCAGCGACAAAAAUAUGUGAAUGAUGCCGUGUGUAAUGCAGCUUUCCUACUGCUUGAAAUUGGUGACAGCCAUUAAAAGCGAGGAAAGUGGUUCCCUGGAAGCCAGAAUGAAUGCAAAUAAAAGUGCCACAUGUGGAAAUGCCUCAUCGUCAUCUUCAUGGUACGGAAACUGCAGGCCGAAGAGGGGUGUUUAGUGGAAACGGGCUCGUGAUCUGCGCGUGAACAAUAGUUCGUUUUAAGGGUGUGCAUCUGAAAGCCCG
rnacentral:lncRNA from 1 species